GACGAACGCUGGCGGCGUGCUUAACACAUGCAAGUCGAACGGAAAGGCCCUGCUUGCAGGGUACUCGAGUGGCGAACGGGUGAGUAACACGUGGGUGAUCUGCCCUGCACUUCGGGAUAAGCCUGGGAAACUGGGUCUAAUACCGGAUAGGAGCCAUUUUUAGUGUGAUGGUUGGAAAGUUUUUUCGGUGUAGGAUGAGCUCGCGGCCUAUCAGCUUGUUGGUGGGGUAAUGGCCUACCAAGGCGGCGACGGGUAGCCGGCCUGAGAGGGUGGACGGCCACAUUGGGACUGAGAUACGGCCCAGACGCCUACGGGAGGCAGCAGUGGGGAAGAUUGCACAAGGGGCGCAAGCCUGAUGCAGCGACGCCGCGUGGGGGAGGACGGCCUUCGGGUUGUAAACUCCUUUCGCUAGGGACGAAGCUUUUUGUGACGGUACCUAGAUAAGAAGCACCGGCUAACUACGUG
rnacentral:rRNA from 1 species